ACAUCGGCAAUAUCAGUCGUAGCCACCAUUCACGUUUUACUCUGUUCUGUAUUUAUCAA
rnacentral:rRNA from 1 species